GACGUAGGGGGCAAGCGUUAUUCGGAAUCAUUGGGCGUAAAGCGCACGUAGGCGGCUCGUUAAGUCGGGUGUGAAAGCCCUCGGCUCAACCGAGGAAGUGCAUUCGAAACUGGCGAGCUUGAAUAUGGAAGAGGGUCGCGGAAUUCCCGGUGUAGAGGUGAAAUUCGUAGAUAUCGGGAGGAACACCAGUGGCGAAGGCGGCGACCUGGGCCAAUAUUGACGCUGAGGUGCGAAAGCGUGGGGAGCAAACAGG
rnacentral:rRNA from 1 species